UGAGGGCUUUCCUACUGCAUGGUAAC
rnacentral:piRNA from 1 species